rnacentral:rRNA from 1 species
AGAGUUUGAUCCUGGCUCAGGACGAACGCUGGCGGCGUGCUUAACACAUGCAAGUCGAACGGUGACGAGGAGCUUGCUCCUCUGAUCAGUGGCGAACGGGUGAGUAACACGUGAGCAACCUACCCUUGACUCCGGGAUAACAGUUGGAAACAGCUGCUAAUACCGGAUACGACCUCCGCAGGCAUCUGCAGAGGUGGAAAGCUCCGACGGUCAAGGAUGGGCUCGCGGCCUAUCAGCUUGUUGGUGAGGUAACGGCUCACCAAGGCGACGACGGGUAGCCGGCCUGAGAGGGCGACCGGCCACACUGGGACUGAGAUACGGCCCAGACUCCUACGGGAGGCAGCAGUGGGGAAUAUUGCACAAUGGGCGAAAGCCUGAUGCAGCAACGCCGCGUGCGGGAUGACGGCCUUCGGGUUGUAAACCGCUUUCAGCAGGGACGAAGUGAAAAUGACGGUACCUGCAGAAGAAGCACCGGCUAACUACGUGCCAGCAGCCGCGGUGAUACGUAGGGUGCGAGCGUUGUCCGGAAUUAUUGGGCGUAAAGAGCUUGUAGGCGGUCUGUUGCGUCGGAAGUGAAAACUCAGGGCUUAACCCUGAGCCUGCUUUGAUACGGGCAGACUGAGGGAUGUAGGGAGAACGGAUUCCUGUGGAGCGGUGGAAUGCGCAGAUAUCAGGAGGAACACCAGUGGCGAAGGCGGUUCUCUGGACAUUCCUGACGCUGAGAAGCGAAAGCGUGGGGAGCAACAGGCUUAAUACCUGGUAGUCCCGCCGUAACGGUGGGCAUAGGUGUGGGACCCAUUCCACGGGUUCCGUGCCGAAGCUAACGCAUUAAGUGCCCCGCCUGGGGAGUACGGCCGCAAGGCUAAAACUCAAAGGAAUUGACGGGGGCCCGCACAAGCGGCGGAGCAUGCGGAUUAAUUCGAUGCAACGCGAAGAACCUUACCUGGGUUUGACAUAUACCGGAAACAUCUGGAGACAGGUGCCCCGCAAGGUCGGUAUACAGGUGGUGCAUGGCUGUCGUCAGCUCGUGUCGUGAGAUGUUGGGUUAAGUCCCGCAACGAGCGCAACCCUCGUUCUAUGUUGCCAGCGGUUCGGCCGGGAACUCAUAGAAGACUGCCGGGGUCAACUCGGAGGAAGGUGGGGAUGACGUCAAGUCAUCAUGCCCCUUAUGUCCAGGGCUUCACGCAUGCUACAAUGGCUGGUACAAAGGGCUGCAAUACCGCAAGGUGGAGCGAAUCCCAUAAAGCCAGUCUCAGUUCGGAUUGGGGUCUGCAACUCGACCCCAUGAAGUCGGAGUCGCUAGUAAUCGCAGAUCAGCAGCGCUGCGGUGAAUACGUUCCCGGGCCUUGUACACACCGCCCGU